rnacentral:rRNA from 1 species
AAGACCUUGCGCUUUUGGAGCGGCCGAUGUCUGAUUAGCUUGUUGGUAAGGUAAAAGCUUACCAAGGCUUCGAUCAGUAGCUGGUCUGAGAGGACGGCCAGCCACACUGGGACUGAGACACGGCCCAGACUCCUACGGGAGGCAGCAGUGGGGAAUUUUGGACAAUGGGGGCAACCCUGAUCCAGCCAUGCCGCGUGAGUGAAGAAGGCCUUCGGGUUGUAAAGCUCUUUCAGCCGGAACGAAACGGUUACGGUUAAUACCCGUGACUACUGACGGUACCGGAAGAAGAAGCACCGGCUAACUACGUGCCAGCAGCCGCGGUAAUACGUAGGGCGCAAGCGUUAAUCGGAAUUACUGGGCGUAAAGCGUGCGCAGGUGGUUUUGUAAGUCAGAUGUGAAAUCCCCGGGCUUAACCUGGGAACU